GCACCGCAAUCAUUGGCAGCGAUGUCCCGCGCUCGUAACGCGGCGAGGCCGGUGCAACUCCGGCGCGGUGCUCCA
rnacentral:tRNA from 1 species